AGUGAACGCUGGCGGUAGGCCUAACACAUGCAAGUCGAACGGCAGCACAGUAAGAGCUUGCUCUCACGGGUGGCGAGUGUCGGACGGGUGAGGAAUACAUCGGAAUCUACUUCUUCGUGGGGGAUAACGCCGGGUAACUUACGCUAAUCCAGCAUACGACCUCCGGGUAAAAGCAGGGGUUCUUCGGACCUUUCGCUAUUGAAUGAGCCGAUGUCGGCUUCGCUCGGUGGCGGGGCAAAGGGCAACCUAAGCGACUCUCCGAAGCUGGUAUGAGCGGAUGGACAGCCAGACUGGCACUGAGACACGGCCCAGACACUUACAGUGGGCAGCGGUGGGGAAUAUUGGACGAGGGGGGCGAGCCUGAUCCAGCCAUACCGCGUGGGUGAAGAAGGCCUUCGGGUUGUAAAGCCCUUUUGUUGGGAAAGAAAAACAGCAGGUUAAUACCCCGCUGUUCUGACGGUACCCAAAGAAUAAGCUCCGGCUAACUUCGUG
rnacentral:rRNA from 1 species